CACUCUAAGCGGUGGAUCACUUGGCUCAUGGGUCGAUGAAGAACGCAGCAAACUGUGCGUCAUCGUGUGAACUGCAGGACACAUGAACAUCGACAUUUUGAACGCAUAUCGCAGUCCAUGCUGUAAAGUACACUAAUUUUUAAUUAUUGUGCUGCUUGGACUACAUAUGGUUGAGGGUUGUAAGACUAUGCUAAAUGAGUUGCUUUUUUUUUAAAUUAAAAUCAAAGCACAUGUUGUAUUACUGGAUGUAAAAGCAUUCAUAAUACUAAUAACCAAGAUACCAAAUGUACCUCAAAUUGAAUAUAAUCAAAAGAAUAUUCUUUUUUUUUAUAGAGGAAGGUCUAGUAUAAAAAAAAUUUUUUUUAAUCUAGAAUUGCUUCUUAAAGAAAAAUUGAAUAACCGUAUGUUCCAUACUAUAUAUAUAUAUAUAUAGAUGAAGAACAAAAAGUCGUAACAAAGUCAGUCAGCCGUAGAAAGAAAAAACAGAUUUUUAUUCAAGAAAAAGAAGUACAUAUAUCUUAAUUAAUUUUAAAUAUAUAUUUAUACAACCUCAACUCAUAUGGGAUUACCCCCUGAAUUUAAGCAUAUUAAUGAGGGAGGAAAAGAAACUAACAAGGAUUUUCUUAGUAGCGGCGAGCGAAAAGAAAAUAGUUCAGCACUAAGUCACUUUGUCUUUAUGGCAAAUGUGAGAUGCAGUGUAUGGAAUGUCAAAUUUCUAGUAUGAGAAAUUAGUGAUUUAAGUCCUUCUUAAAUGAGGCCAUUUACCCAUAGAGGGUGCCAGGCCCGUAUAACAUUAAUGAUUAUUAGAUGGCAUUUCCAAAGAGUCGUGUUGCUUGAUAGUGCAGCACUAAGUGGGUGGUAAACUCCAUCUAAAACUAAAUAUAACCAUGAGACCGAUAGUAAACAAGUACCGUGAGGGAAAGUUGAAAAGAACUCUGAAUAGAGAGUUAAAUAGUACGUGAAACUGCUUAGAGGUUAAGCCCGAUGAACCUGAAUAUCCGUUAUAGAAAAUUCAUCAUUAUGACUUUAAUAUUUAAAAAUAUUAUAAUAAUAGUGUGCAUUUUUUCUAUAAAGGACAUUGUAAUCUAUUGACAUUAAUAAAAUCUAUCAAAAGAUCAAUUGCGAAGGUUUAUUCGAUUUAUUUUGCUUGCAAUUUAACAUAGGGUAAACGCUUUUGAUUUGAUAGAGUGUCGAUAGAUUUAUUAUAUAUGGUGCUUGAAUAUUUAAUAUUCUAUAAUAGCAUAUUAAUUAUUAAUUUUUAUGUUUAUUAUAUGCACUUGUAUGAUUAACAAUGCGAAAGAUUCAGGAUACCUUCGGGACCCGUCUUGAAACACGGACCAAGGAGUCUAACAUAUUUGCAAGUUAUUGGGAAUAAAAACCUAAUAGCGAAAUUAACAUAACUUUAUUUGGGAUUAGUUUUAGCCUAUUUAUAGUCUAUUAAUUCAAUCCGGGCGUUCUAUCGUUAUGUAUAAUAAUAUUUAUAUUAUUUAUACCUCUAACUAGAGCGUACCUUGAGCAUAUAUGCUGUGACCCGAAAGAUGGUGAACUAUACUUGAUCAGGUUGAAGUCAGGGGAAACCCUGAUGGAAGACCGAAACAGUUCUGACGUGCAAAUCGAUCGUCAGAUCCGGGUAUAGGGGCGAAAGACUAAUCGAACCAUCUAGUAGCUGGUUCCCUCCGAAGUUUCCCUCAGGAUAGCUGGUGCAUUUAAAAUUUAUGUAAAAUAAUCUUAUCUGGUAAAGCGAAUGAUUAGAGGCCUUAGGGUCGAAACGAUCUUAACCUAUUCUCAAACUUUAAAUGGGUAAGAACCUCACCUUUCUUGGUAUGAAGGUAGUGGUUGUGAUAUAAUGUGCCCAGUGGGCCACUUUUGGUAAGCAGAACUGGCGCUGUGGGAUGAACCAAACGUAAUGUUACGGUGCCCAAAUUAACAACUCAUGCAGAUACCAUGAAAGGCGUUGGUUGCUUAAAACAGCAGGACGGUGGACAUGGAAGUCGUAAUCCGCUAAGGAGUGUGUAACAACUCACCUGCCGAAGCAACUAGCCCUUAAAAUGGAUGGCGCUUAAGUUGUAUACCUAUACAUUACCGCUAAAGUAGAUGAUUUAUGUUCAAUUUCGGUUGGAUUAUAAAUUUUGAAACUUUAGUGAGUAGGAGGGUACAGUGGUAAGCAUAGAAGUGUUUGGCGUAAGCCUGCAUGGAGCUGCCAUUGGUACAGAUCUUGGUGGUAGUAGCAAAUAAUCGAAUGAGACCUUGGAGGACUGAAGUGGAGAAGGGUUUCGUGUGAACAGUGGUUGAUCACGAGUUAGUCGGUCCUAAGUUUAAGGCGAAAGCCGAAAAUUUUCAAGUUAUAAUAGAAAUGAAAAUGAAAUAUACAUAUUGUAAUAAAACACUUGAAUAAUUUUGAACGAAAGGGAAUACGGUUCCAAUUCCGUAACCUGUUGAGUAUCCGUUUGUUAUUAAAUAUGGGCCUUGUGCUCAUCCUGGCAACAGGAACGACCAUAAAGAAGCCGUCGAGAGGUAUCGGAAGAGUUUUCUUUUCUGUUUUAUAGCCGUACUACCAUGGAAGUCUUUCGAAGAGAGAUAUGGUAGAUGGGCUAGAAGAGCAUGACAUUUACUGUUGUGUCGAUAUUUUCUCCUCGGACCUUGAAAAUUUAUGGCGGGGUCACGCAAACUUCUCAACAGGCCGUACCAAUAUCCGCAGCUGGUCUCCAAGGUGAAGAGUCUCUAGUCGAUAGAAUAAUGUAGGUAAGGGAAGUCGGCAAAUUAGAUCCGUAACUUCGGGAUAAGGAUUGGCUCUGAAGAUUGAGAUAGUCGGGCUUGAUUGGGAAGCAAUAACAUGGUUUAUGUGCUCGUUCUGGGUAAACAGAGAUGCUUGUAUCUUGUUCCCCGGAUAGUAGUUACGUAGCCAAUUGUGGAACUUUCUUGCUAAAAUUUUAAGGGGAUUUAUCGCAAGGUACAUUCCUUUUUAAUUAUAACGACUAUCAAUUAACAAUCAAUUCAGAACUGGCACGGACUUGGGGAAUCCGACUGUCUAAUUAAAACAAAGCAUUGUGAUGGCCCUAACGGGUGUUGACACAAUGUGAUUUCUGCCCAGUGCUCUGAAUGUCAAAGUGAAGAAAUUCAAGUAAGCGCGGGUAAACGGCGGGAGUAACUAUGACUCUCUUAAGGUAGCCAAAUGCCUCGUCAUCUAAUUAGUGACGCGCAUGAAUGGAUUAACGAGAUUCCCUCUGUCCCUAUCUACUCACU
rnacentral:rRNA from 1 species